rnacentral:rRNA from 1 species
UGUGAACUGCAGGACACAUGAACACCGACACGUUGAACGCAUAUUGCGCAUCGCACGACACAGUGCGAUGUACACAUUUUUGAGUGCCCAUCCUCACCGCAUAGCCAACUAUCGAAAUACCCUCCGGGUAUCGCGAUGCAUAAUGACGGUUGCCUGGCGUCCGCGCCGCCAAUCGUUGAAACUGUGUGCGUAGGAGGGGCCGAUCGGAGCGUGCGCGCGCGAGAUCCGCUUUCGCGAGUGUCUUCCGUCACGGCUGAGCCACCUUACGACUCUCACCAGGUACCAAUGGUGCAGAACCUUAUCGAACGACCACACGCGUUCGGUGGCUCGCGAGUGCACGUGACAAUGGUGUGCAGAAGACACAGGCUCGAGAUCGCUAGAGAGCGGACACCUCGUGCGUGUCGCGACGGCACGGUUCCUUCCCAAUCAGAUAGUGGGCCUCAAAUAAUGUGUGACUACCCCCUGAAUUUAAGCAUA